rnacentral:piRNA from 1 species
UGACAGUUAUCUCCUGCUGUAGGAGGCAUUG